GCCUAAAGCGUCCGUAGCCGGCUUUGUAAGUUUUCGGUUAAAUCUAUAUGCUCAACAUAUAGGCCGCCGGGAAUACUGCAAAGCUAGGGAGUGGGAGAGGUAGACGGUACUCCGUAGGAAGGGGUAAAAUCCUUUGAUCUAUGGAUGACCACCUGUGGCGAGGGCGGUCUACCAGAACACGUUCGACGGUGAGGGAUGAAAGCUGGGGGAGCAAACCGGAUUAGAUACCCGGGUAGUCCCAGCUGUAAACUAUGCAAACUCAGUGAUGCAUUGGCUUGUGGCCAGUGCAGUGCCGCAGAGAAGUCGUUAAGUUUGCCGCCUGGGAAGUACGUACGCAAGUAUGAAACUUAAAGGAAUUGGCGGGGGAGCACCACAAGGGGUGAAGCCUGCGGUUCAAUUGGAGUCAACGCCAGAAAUCUUACCCGAAGAGACAGCAGGAUGAAGGUCAAGCUGAAGACUUUACCAGACAAGCUGAGAAGUGGUGCAUGGCCGUCGCCAGCUCGUGCCGUGAGGUGUCCUGUUAAGUCAGGUAACGAGCGAGAUCCUUGCCUCUAGUUGCUACCAUUACUCUCAGGAGUAGUGGGGCGAAUUAGCGGGACUGCCGUAGUUAAUACGGAGGAAGGAGGGGGCCACGGCAGGUCAGUAUGCCCCGAA
rnacentral:rRNA from 1 species